rnacentral:rRNA from 1 species
UGGGGAAUAUUGGACAAUGGGGGCAACCCUGAUCCAGCAAUGCCGCGUGUGUGAAGAAGGUCUUCGGAUUGUAAAGCACUUUCGACGGGGACGAUGAUGACGGUACCCGUAGAAGAAGCCCCGGCUAACUUCGUGCCAGCAGCCGCGGUAAUACGAAGGGGGCUAGCGUUGCUCGGAAUGACUGGGCGUAAAGGGCGUGUAGGCGGUUUACACAGUCAGAUGUGAAAUCCCCGGGCUUAACCUGGGAGCUGCAUUUGAUACGUGUAGACUAGAGUGUGAGAGAGGGUUGUGGAAUUC